rnacentral:rRNA from 1 species
GAUGAACGCUGGCGGCGUGCCUAAUACAUGCAAGUCGAGCGAAUGGAUUAAGAGCUUGCUCUUAUGAAGUUAGCGGCGGACGGGUGAGUAACACGUGGGUAACCUGCCCAUAAGACUGGGAUAACUCCGGGAAACCGGGGCUAAUACCGGAUAACAUUUUGAACCGCAUGGUUCGAAAUUGAAAGGCGGCUUCGGCUGUCACUUAUGGAUGGACCCGCGUCGCAUUAGCUAGUUGGUGAGGUAACGGCUCACCAAGGCAACGAUGCGUAGCCGGCCUGAGAGGGGGAUCGGCCAAACUGGGACUGAGACACGGCCCAGACUCCUACAGGAGGCAGCAGUAGGGAAUCUUCCGCAAUGGACGAAAGUCUGACGGAGCAACGCCGCGUGAGUGAUGAAGGCUUUCGGGUCGUAAAACUCUGUUGUUAGGGAAGAACAAGUGCUAGCUGAAUAAGCUGGCACCUUGACGGUACCUAACCAGAAAGCCACGGCUAACUACGUGCCAGCCGCCGCAGUAA